GGUCGCGUAACUCAGUUGGUUAGAGUGUCGUACUAAUACAUCCAUUCAGAUGUGUCAUGUAAUGCGAAAGCCGAGAGUUCAAGCCUCUCCGUGACCA
rnacentral:tRNA from 1 species